GAACGCACAUUGCGCCCGCUGGUAUUCCGGCGGGCAUGCCUGUCCGAGCGUCAUUAUGACCAAUCAAGCUCUGCUUGGCCUUGGGGCCUGCUAUACCAGCGGCUCUUAAAACCAGUGGCGGUGCCGUCUGGCCCUAAGCGUAGUAAUUCUCCUCGCUAUAGGGCUCUAGACGUCCACCCGCCAGAACCCCCAAACUUCUCAAGGUUGACCUCGGAUCAGGUAGGGAUACCCGCUGAACUUAAG
rnacentral:misc_RNA from 1 species